UAUAGAACGACUCUCAGCAAUGGAUAUUUAUGCUCUCACAUCGACGAAGAACGUAGUGAAAUGCGAUACUUGGUGUGAAUUGCAGAAUCUCGUGAACCAUCGAGUCUUUGAACUCCAAUUGCGCCCAAAGCCGUCAGGCUGAGAGCACGUCUACCUUGGCAUCAUGCAUCGCAUCGUUGCCC
rnacentral:rRNA from 1 species